rnacentral:rRNA from 1 species
CCUACGGGUGGCAGCAGUGGGGAAUAUUGCACAAUGGGCGAAACCCUGAUCCAGCGACGCCGCGUGAGUGAAGAAGGCUUUCGGUAUGUAAAGCUCUUUUAGCGGGGAAGAAAAUGUCGGGACCUGACCUAGAUGCCCCGGCUAACUACGGGCCAGCAGCCGCGGUAAUACGUAGGGGGCAAGCGUUAUCCGGAUUUAGUGGGGGUAAAGGGGGCGUAGACGGGGGGGCAAGUCAGGAGUGAAAGGCGGGGGCUCAACCCCCGGACUGCACUGGAAACUGGAAGGCUGGAGUGCAGGAGAGGUAAGUGGAAUUCCUAGUGUAGCGGUGAAAUGCGUAGAUAUUAGGAGGAACACCAGUGGCGAAGGCGGAUUACUGGACUGUAACUGACGUUGAGGCGCGAAAGCGUGGGGAGCAAACAGGAUUAGAUACCCGGGUAGUC